UGCAAAUACAUAUUUUGUCUCUCGCUGUCUGAUGGUCAUCAUGUUCAGCCUGAAGCAAGCUGCACUGCUCUUCAUUCAGCUGUUACAGACAAACUACGUAUUUGCAGCGUUCGCUACAGCAGACCACUACGAUGUGUUGGUGUCCAGAGGAAACUCAGUCCUGCUCACUUGCAAUCUAUCUAAUGA